UUCUGUCAUGGAGUGUUUCCAGGGUUUUCUGUGUAGUAGUGAGUGAAUGACUGGAAUGAGUUGUGACUGUACAAAACCAACAAGUAUUCUAGUCUUUGUUCUGGGACUCUGUUGCUCUGUUGGAAGGUAGCUUCAAUACACCAGAGGGUAGAGAAUUCUAAGCUCUAUGUUCCUAUCUGAGCAGAGCUUCAGUGUCAAUGGGAAAGACAUAAAGCUUCAUGUCUUGGUUGUACUCAGGACUCGCUCUGUGUGUGUGUGUGUGUGUGUGUGUGUGUGUGUGUGUGUGUGUGUACAUUGUCCUCCACAAGUGUAGGGUUUAGAUUGUCGAAAGAAUGUGUGAAGUGUGUAGAUCAUCUCCACAAUUUUCAUUGUGAUUUCAUUCUAUGGAAUGUUUGCCACCGAGGAAACCACCAGAAAAACACGAUAUGACCACACUUUCAGCAGCACAUUAUUUGGGAAUAUUCCUUUCUAAUCUAAGGACAGAAAUUCUGUAGAUCUAUUGGUCCACUCUAACAAUAAUGUCUGCUCCAGAGAAAAGCUGUGCAGUAACCCCCCUCGGUCCUGCUCCAACACAACAACCCCUAAGGGUGUCCUUUCCCUGAUGUGUGACUGCCCCUUUGUAGUCCAUACACUGAACUGGGAGUGGAGCCUGACAGCACUGGAGGGUAAAAUGCCACGUAGUUCAUGGUACUUGAAUAGCCUUCCGGGUUGCUGUAAGCCUCACUUGGUUUCCAGCAUCCUGGGGGACCGAGAUGUACGGCAGACAGGAGAGUUUUCAUAGUCUUUAUCUUCUCAUGUUCACUACUGACACUUUAUAAACCAUAUUCCAUUGGGAACCCUGGAUUAUCUGAUCCUUGAGAUAGUGUCCUCGAGAGUUUGUACUAGAUUCCACCCAGCAUAAGUUAAAACUCGUGUUGUUUCUUGGUCUUAGAAGACCCACUCUCUGGUCUUCAAGUGAUUGAUAUGAGUGAGAGACUUGAAACACUGGAAGAGUGUCUCCUCAUCUGUUGCUAUCAGCAUAGUGCAAGUGUUCCGUUUUCCUUUCCUUCCUUGCUCCUCAUUGACUCAGUGCUGUCACCGAGGAUGAUGUUCCAGUAGCCACUCAAUCUAGCCUUUAAAGCACAGCCAUCUUGUUGUGUAAAUUAAGCAGUGCUCUCUAAGGAAGCCAUGGGCCACAGCACCAAUGAUUAACAGUCACUCUGUCUUCCUAGAAAUACAAGAUAUCCCAGACAUUAAACAUAUGAUUUUUAGAAAACAAGAGUUGGAACCUCAUGAUGAGAUGGCUUCCACCGUGGUACAGACUUAUUAUGUAGCAGAUACAGCCCAGGUGGGAGAAACGGAUGUUGAACAACAACAACAACACCAAGACCUCACUAGUGAAGAGAAUCUUCCAGGUAAGUAACAAUGUCCUGUGGAGAGCAACAGGAAAGGGCUCAAGAAGCAGUCGGGUUGUACAUUCUGCUUGCCAGGCUGAAGCAGUGGGAAAGGCAUCAGUGAGAUGUAGGAGAUUUGUUUGAUUCUCCUUCCAGCCAUAGUGGUAAAGAGGAAUAGAAGCACACACACACACACACACACACACACACACACACACACAUGCACACACAGCCCACUGGCGAUUAAAAAUGAGCCAGAGAGUUGGGGGAAUGGCUUUUUAAACAAGAUCACUGAGUGCUCUACCAGAGGACUGGGAUUCCAAUCUCAGCACCCAUAUCGCUGUUCACAUCCCUCUGCUACUCCACUUUCAAGGCAUCUGAUGCUCUCCUCUGGUCUUGAUUGGCUCUGCAUGCAAGUAGUACACAGGCAUUUCCAGGCAAUGGCUGAAAUACACUUACAACUAAAAGCAUUCUCCCCGACUCUCUCAUUGCAAAGCUCCAAGCCUUUGACUGUAAUCAGUAGAUCUCCGUGUGCAUUGCUUGUUUGGCAUCUGUGUCACUUCUGAUUGCUGGUUUGUGACAGAACUAUCAGUUGAGUACAACUCUCUGUAGUCUCUGAGAUGAACCUGAGUACAAAGGUCAUGAAGUAUGGGACCACUAUUGCAGAAGAAAGAAAUCCUCUUCCAGCUGGUCCUGCAGGAUUUAUCA